rnacentral:tRNA from 7 species
CCGCCCGUAGCUCAGUUGGUUAGAGCAAUCGGCUUAUAUCCGAUCGGUCCCUGGUUCAAGUCCAGGCGGGCGGA